rnacentral:rRNA from 1 species
UAAGACAGAGGGUGCAAGCGUUGUUCGGAAUUACUGGGCGUAAAGCGCGCGCAGGCGGAUCCUGCAAGUCGGAAGUGAAAUUUCGCUGCUCAACGGCGACGCUGCUUCCGAUACUGCGGAUCUGGGGACCGGUAGAGGCUGGUGGAAUUGCAGGUGUAGCGGUGGAAUGCGUAGAGAUCUGCAAGAACACCCGUGGCGAAGGCGGCCAGCUGGGCCGGAUCCGACGCUGAGGCGCGAAAGCGUGGGGAGCAAACAGGAUUAGAUACCCUGGUAGUCCACGCCGUAAACGAUGGGCACUAGGUGCUGGGGGGAGCGACCCCGUCAGUGCCGUAGCUAACGCGAUAAGUGCCCCGCCUGGGGAGUACGGCCGCAAGGCUG